GGAAAGGAAAGGAAAGGAAAGGAAAGGAAAGGAAAGGAAAGGAAAGGAAAGGAAAGGAAAGGAAAGGAAAGGAAAGGAAAGGAAAGGAAAGGAAAAUGUGCUGUUUCUUCACUUUUCUGCACAACUGAUAGCAAAUAUGCUGUAUGAGAGCAUUGCAAGGAUAAUGAGAGGGAGGUUACAUGUGUGUGAGCCGAUGGAUGGAAGGAAGCCGAAGAUAAUGAAUCAAUAAAUCGUAUUUUCUGUAAUUUUUCAUCUGUCCAUAACUAUUGCAUCUGCGCUGGCCAACUUCCCAAAGACAAAAUGCGGCAUCUGCAGUUAGUGCUGAAGCGGCCACGUACGUGGUGUCGCCUUCCACCAGUAACAUGUGGAAGAGAUUAGAUAAGCGAGGUGGCUCCUGCUGUGGGGAGUUAUUCCCGCUCCGGAGCCCUGGAAGGUACGCUGCUUCUCACACGCCGGUGUGAGCGCUGCUUGAGGCGUCUAGGGAAGUCGCUUUAUCAAAAAGCAAUGCACAUCACCACAGCCGUAUGGCUGAUUUCAAGUCAAAAUCGCCCCUCCGCUCCUGUUUAGGCUUUAGGUAGCAUCAGAGCAAGCAGCAGCCGGCGAUUGUGCUUUUAUCUUUGAUGCGAGUUUCUGGCGAGCAAAGCGGGAAGCCAGAAAGCCAAACAGCUCGGCCCGAGCCGCACGAAACUUGCUUAUCGGUAGCCGCGCGGUGCGUGCGCUUCAUUCCUGGCCUUUUGGGGUAAUUAUUAUGCUUAUUUUUUUUUUUCCUUUUUUUCAAUGGGAAGGCCCCCGCGGGCUCCCCGCCCGCCGCCCCGCCGGCAGGGGCCCGGAGGAGCGAAGGAGUUAAAGGGAGGCGCUUGGGAAAUCCGAUGCUGAGGAGCCCCAGGAAUGCUGCCCCUUCCCACUCCCCUCCGGCUCUCGGAGCAGCUCAGUCCCCGCCGCCGAGCCCCGAGGCCGCGCACACUCGCUCCGGGCUCUGCCCCGCAGGUUCCUGGACCGGGAGACGCGGAGGGCGGGGUGGGGGGGGGGUGGCGAGAAGGCUUAAAAAGUUAUUUUAAUUUUUAUUUCUGGAUACUUUUUCCCUUGCAGGCGCUGCCGGAGAUGCCGGGCAGGAGGCGGUGGUGGGCACGCUGCUGGCUGGGCGUCUGCCUCUCGCUGCUGGGCGCCGGGGGCUGCAGCGGCGGCGGCUCCGAGCCCUGCCGGCUGCCCCCCUGCGGCGGCGAGGCUCCCCCGCCGCCCUGCCGCGGGGCCCGCUGCGGAGCCCGUGCCGGCCGGCCCGCCCGCUCCUUCCCGCACACCGCCACGCCGCUGCGGGCCCCGCAGGGCAAGGCGCAGCCCCCCGCAGCCAGGGGGGUCCCUCCGGAGGCCUGCCCGGCCGGGGGCUGCUCCUCCAACGGCACCCGCCGCGACUGCCAGGGCCUGGAGUGCCGCCUGCCGCUCCGCCUGCGGCCGCGGCCCCGCGGCCCCGCCGGCUGCGCCGCCUCCGCCACCGCCGAGGGCUGCCCCGAGCCCGCCCUGCUCCGCGCCGCCGAGAGGGCCGCCCAGUUCGCCGGGGACGACUUCGCCUACGGCGGGCCCGAGCUGGGCGGAGGCGGCGCCCUGGGGGUGCAGCUGGCCUGCGACGUGAAGCCAGGAGAAAACGAAGUUCCAUCUGAAGACGCCCUAAUACUACAGCUGCACCUUGCAAAAGGACACGAGAAAUUUACUGAAAUGCUAAAAAGCCAGCAGCAAAUCAUUGUGGAUUUGCAGCAAAAACUUGCUGAACAGCAGCACAUGCUGGUUAGCCAGCAAAAGGAGAUUCUUGAACAGCAAAGAAAAAUGUAUGAGCAAAUGGAUCUGAUCAAAGUCCAGUAUGGCAUGCUUUUUGACACAGUGAAACAAAUGUCAUUUCAGAGUUUGCAAGAAGAUAUUCAAAAUUAUUUUGAAAGUCAUCUUCAAGGACUUCAGAACCAGGUCAGGAAUCAUCUCCAGAAGUCAUACUCUGUCCAUAAAGUAGAAGUGGAUGCAAAAGUGAUUAAUGUUGGGGAGUCUUUGCUGGACUGUGGUCUUUGUGAAAGUGAUGAAUUUUGCAAUUUCCAAAAGACACCUUCACAAUGUGAAAAAUGUACAUUGUGUCCUGCUGGUUUUUUCCAAAUGGCUGAGUGUUCUGCAAACUCUGAUCGGAUUUGCCAGGACAGAGAUGAAUGUACUGAAUCUCCAAGUAUUUGUGGUGAGAGGAUAAAGUGUCUGAAUACUCCAGGUGGCUUCCGAUGCCUCGGAAUUGCUGAGAAAGAUGCCGCUUUGGGAUUGUGUGGCGAGGAGUAUUUCUUUAAUAAGGAAAUGCAGGAAUGCCAGGCAUGUUUGAAAUGUGAAGAUGGAAUGGUGGCCAUGCCUUGCUCCACUGUCAGUGAUACAGUUUGUUCAGCAACCAGUGAAAACAAGCUGUCAGAGUCUUGGGCUGCAAACAUCAUUUUACCAUCUGUAAAGUCUGGCAUCUCUCAGGUCUACUCUGGUUUGAACUUGAAGAUAAGGGAAAAGCUUCACCGUGAAAUCCUGUCCAUUGAAGAUACCAGCCUGGUAUUCAGGCAGCAUGGUCUGUUGUGGACUGACCUAAAUUUUGCAGUAAAACACAACUGCAGGAAUUUUUUGCAACUUUCUUUAAAGCUAAAUGGCAGCGAGGAAGGCUAUGAACUGAGUGGUGUUCGCAUUGAACAACCAGAAGGAAAAUAUUUCCAGAGCACUAGUUUAAGCAGUGCUGCUGAAGUGGAACCCAGCCAAACUCUUUCUGUGUUUUUAAGGAGCCCAAAUCAGUUCUGCAAUCAAAGUAAAGACUUACAUAUUUAUGAUCUUAACACACCACUAAGUUUGUUUUGGUUGUCUCAUGACACGGGUGCUGUGGCAAUUAGUGCACAGAUGUCAACAGCAAUGCAUUACCAAACCAACUAUCGACCUACCUUUAAAAUAAUUUCUGUUUCCGACCCUUACAUGCUAAGUUUAUCUCACGAUGGCAGAGCUAUAAAGUUCACUGAAACCGGUGUUGUCAAAUUUGUGUUCCACCAAGCAUUGUAUUCCAUGGGUCAUACGUGUGUCCGGGAGGGUUUCUCCUUAAUUUCUUAUAUAAACAGGAAUGGCACCAACAGAGAAUUAAUGAAUGUAUUUAAAUCUGGGGUAAACUACAGAGACACGUCAAUAUCUGCUUCUGGGGCCACAAAAGUUGCUGCUGGAGAUCUGAUUAGCUUUGAGAUACUUUCUCCUGCACAAUGUAAUGUCCGGUAUUUUGGAGAUAGUUCUGGAAUUAGUAUUUUUAGCCUCAUCUGGAUACCUUCAGCAGUUUCUAGUGCCAUAUCAGCCACAGUUUCUGUUACUGCUCUGCCUACUGGAGCUGUGAGAAACAAAUUACUGGAUUUCACCCAGGUCUCAUCCAGUGAGAAACAGAUACAGCUGGUUUCUUCUGGACAGCUUGCUCAGAAGUACUUCGUUUUUACUGAAAAGGGAGUUGCCAGCCUUGCAUUUAACUUAAAGCUAAUCCAUUCAUGCAACAUGCUUAAAGUGACUCUCAACCGGUUGACCAUGGAUCACAUGCAACCCACAGCAAUUGCUCAGCAGAUUGGAGGUCAGAUGCCAGAGGGAAGCAUAUGGACCAGUGUGUCCCUCCGUGCAUCUUUUGAUGUACAUAACGGAACGCUGAUAUCAGUUUCUCUUGACUGUGUGCGUGGAAGGAUCAAUCAGAUCACUCAUGAACAUGGAACCAGUAUAUCUAUUUUAUGGAUUUCAUCUUAAUUUCUGUACAGUGGUGUUAGCACAGGACUGGGGUUUAAAUUGGAUUUGGAUUCUGCUCUGAUUCAAUGUCUGUAUUUGACACCUUACUGUGUGUUGACAUGAACAUACCAUCCUGCUAAAAUGCUCUCAAUUUUAGGAAUAUUUAAAGGUAAUCUUAAUUAAAUGAUCAGUAUUUAAAGAAAAGAGCUGUCAUUGUUCCAAGACAUUACUUCUGUUACCAUCUUCAGGCAGGGGAACCACGAAUUCAGCUCAAACUUAUUUUUAAAAAAAAUGUCUUUUAAAAUCAGUUAUUUCUGGACCACAAAAAUUGCAGUGAGGAUAAAUACAUACCUUUUAGUGCUGGCACUGAAAGCAGCACAGCCAAGUAAUGAAAACCUGCUUUCACUUUCUUCACUGCAGCAGGCUAACAAGAAGACUAAAUGCACUUUGAUGCUAAUUUGUCUACAUCUUAUAAAAUGUUGUGCUUUCUAUAAGUGCCUCAAACAUGCCACAGGCUAGAAGUGAUAAUAUGGUAAAAUUCAAGUAUACAUGCACAGUAUUCUUGAAGUGGAGCUAGGUCAAAAAUAGAACAUUGUUUUUACAAAAUAUAAUAAUUGUGCUCAACAAAAUCAUUGGAACUAAUGGUCAUUCUACUUUAAUUUGGAAAUUGUCUGCUUUUAAGUAAUUUGGGAAGGCUUUUUCCUUUUUUUUUUUUUUUUUUGCCAGUGAAAGGUUGCAUGAUAAGAAGGAAUGGAGUAUGAAAAGAAUGUCUUAGAAAUUAAACUUUUUGAAUGAAACAAAUAUUUAUUCCGUUUAUUACAAAUGACAAGAUAUUUUCCUGACCAAAAAGGAACACCAUUCACAAGCAUAUUUAUUUUGCUGAAUGCUUAUUUUUAAAAGUUUUUUGGGGGAUUAAAUCACUCAGUUAAUUCUAAAAAGAAACAAUGUAUUCAAUGACACUGAUUUUUGUCUUCUACCAACUCUUCCAUCAAACUGCUCUAUCUGAUCGGUGAAGAGCAUUUCCUCUCAUUUUCUCCUUUCUCCAUCAAUACUGCUUCACUCUCCAUUCUUAUCUCUUUUGUUAGGAGCAAAUAGCAUGCUCUGGCAUCUGGCUUGACUCUUUCCAGACAUCCCUCACCAUUCCUACUAAAGAGUGGGUGUUUGUCACACACGUAACUAUGGGAGAGGGACAUUAAAUGGGGCCCUCACAGGCUGCCUUACAUCAACCUUCUUGAGAGCAAGACUACUGUGCAUGAUACAGCUUUAUUGUAGGUGUCUGCCUGAGCAUGUAUAUCUAAAUACAUGCUCUUUCCUGUGCGCUUCAUCUAUUCUAGAGUUUGUUAGAAUUUUCUGUAAAAGCAAGAACCUUAAUGCUAGACUUCUAUCUGCUGGUUCCAUUUUUCCUGGUGAUUUUCUAAUUCUGUCAUUACCACCUGUGGUUACCUUUCCCACAUCCUUUUUCUUCAGGUUUAUAUUCAAAGAUGUGCAGGCUUUGGACAGAUUGUUCUCCUGCUCCGAAUGGAGAACACUGGUUUUCCUUGCUUUCAGCAGUAAGGUCCAAGCAGCCCAUCACAAGAUACCUCACUGGAUGCUGUGUUGAGGCCAGCAUAACUGUGCAAACUGUAGUAAGUUCAGUCCUGGUGUCACUGAAGUCUGUGACAGAGGGCUUCGUGCCUUUGUCAUUCAUUCUUUCAGGGACAUAAGGGAAGGACGGAUUAAAGCUAAUACUGAAAAUGUUCAACAUUUGCAAAAUACUGGUAUUGUUACAGAUUAUAUUUUAUAGUAAUAAAAGAAGACGUCUGAGAUUAGAGUGCUUGAAG
rnacentral:lncRNA from 1 species